rnacentral:rRNA from 1 species
GACGAACGCUGGCGGCGUGCCUAAUACAUGCAAGUCGAACGCAGUGGGGACGGGUGAGUAACACGUGGGUAACCUCCCAUCAGAGGGGAGAACACUUGGAAACAGGUGCUAAACCGAUACUGAUGGAUGGAGCCGCGGUGCAUUAGCUAGGUGGGGGGGUAACGGCUCACCAAGGCCACGAUGCAUAGCUGACCUGAGAGGGUGAUCAGCCACACUGGGACUGAGACACGGCCCAGACUCCUACGGGAGGCAGCAGUAGGGAAUCUUGGGCAAUGGACGAAAGUCUGACCGAGCAAUGCCGCGUGAGUGAAGAAGGUUUUCGGAUCGUAAAACUCUGUUGUCAGGGAGGCGGUAUCUACCCAGAAAGCCACGGCUAACUACGUGCCAGCCGCCGCGGUAAUUC